GACGAACGCUGGCGGCGUGCUUAACACAUGCAAGUCGAACGGUAAGGCCCUUCGGGGUACACGAGUGGCGAACGGGUGAGUAACACGAGGGUGAUCUGCCCUGCACUUCGGGAUAAGCCUGGGAAACUGGGUCUAAUACCGGAUAGGACCACUGCCUGCAUGGGUGGUGGUGGAAAGCUUUUGCGGUGUGGGAUGGGCCCGCGGCCUAUCAGCCUGUUGGUGGGGUGAUGGCCUACCAAGGCGACGACGGGUAGCCGGCCUGAGAGGGUGACCGGCCACACUGGGACGGAGAUACGGCCCAGACUCCUACGGGAGGCAGCAGUGGGGAAUAUUGCACAAUGGGCGCAAGCCUGAUGCAGCGACGCCGCGUGAGGGAUGACGGCCUUCGGGUUGUAAACCUCUUUCAGCACCGACGAAGCGCAAGUGACGGUAGGUGCAGAAGAAGGACCGGCCAACUACGUGCCAGCCGCCGCCGUAA
rnacentral:rRNA from 1 species